GCCCAGAUGGUGGAACAGGCAGACACAGCGAGCUUAAACCUCGCGGCCUUCGGGCGUUGCGGGUUCGACUCCCGCUCUGGGCA
rnacentral:tRNA from 2 species